rnacentral:tRNA from 1 species
GCCCCUGUAGCUCAGUGGAUAGAGCGCUGGCCUCCGAAGCCAGAAGCGGGAGUUCGAGUCUCCCCAGGGGCACCA